rnacentral:rRNA from 1 species
AGUGAACGCUGGCGGUAGGCCUAACACAUGCAAGUCGAACGGCAGCACAGUAAGAGCUUGCUCUUACGGGUGGCGAGUGGCGGACGGGUGAGGAAUACAUCGGAAUCUACUUUUUCGUGGGGGAUAACGUGGGGAAACUUACGCUAAUACCGCAUACGACCUACGGGUGAAAGCAGUGGAUCUUCGGACCUUGCGCGAUUGAAUGAGCCGAUGUCGGAUUAGCUAGUUGGCGGGGUAAAGGCCCACCAAGGCGACGAUCCGUAGCUGGUCUGAGAGGAUGAUCAGCCACACUGGAACUGAGACACGGUCCAGACUCCUACGGGAGGCAGCAGUGGGGAAUAUUGGACAAUGGGCGCAAGCCUGAUCCAGCCAUACCGCGUGGGUGAAGAAGGCCUUCGGGUUGUAAAGCCCUUUUGUUGGGAAAGAAAAGCAGCAGGUUAAUACCCCGCUGUUCUGACGGUACCCAAAGAAUAAGCACCGGCUAACUUCGUG